UACGGAGGGUGCAAGCGUUGUCCGGAAUCACUGGGCGUAAAGGGCGCGUAGGCGGCUCGGUAAGUAGGGGGUGAAAUCCUGCGGCUUAACCGCAGGGCUGCCUUCUAAACUGUCGAGCUCGAGCACGGUAGAGGCAGAUGGAAUUCCUGGUGUAGCGGUGAAAUGCGCAGAUAAUCAGGAGGAACACCGGUGGCGAAGGCGGGACUCUGGGCCGAUACUGACGCUGAGGAGCGAAAGCGUGGGGAGC
rnacentral:rRNA from 1 species